rnacentral:rRNA from 1 species
GUACACACCGCCGUCGCUCCUACCGAUUGAACGAUCCGGUGAAAUUUGGGAUUGAAGGUAUGCCUUGGGGCAACUCAAGUGAGACUCGUUGAGAAUUGCUUAAACCUUAUCGUUUAGAGGAAGGAGAAGUCGUAACAAGGUAUCCGUAGGUGAACCUGCAGAAGGAUCA